rnacentral:rRNA from 1 species
UACGAAGGGUUCAAGCGUUACUCGGAAUUACUGGGCGUAAAGCGUGCGUAGGUGGUUUGUUAAGUCUGUUGUGAAAGCCCCGGGCUCAACCUGGGAAUGGCAAUGGAUACUGGCAGGCUAGAGUGCGGUAGAGGGUAGUGGAAUUCCCGGUGUAGCGGUGAAAUGCGUAGAGAUCGGGAGGAACACCAGUGGCGAAGGCGGCUACCUGGACCAGCACUGACACUGAGGCACGAAAGCGUAGGGAGCAAACAGG